rnacentral:lncRNA from 1 species
AGACUACAAAUGUACAAAAUCCUCAACCUGCUAGAGGACACCUUAGCGGAUGCAACAAUAGCAUUAUGUUUGAUAAUUGGUAAAGUGUGAUAAGGUCUUGAAAAACUGGCUAUAAUAGUGAAGACAAUGUAUGUUUUUCCUUAGAAAUGUGUUGCAUCUAUCUGAUCAGUAAUACUGUGUAGGCCAAAAUUCUGUUAUAGUAAGUCUUCCAAUUAUCAUUCUUAA